AGCGCUGGCGGCGUGCUUAACACAUGCAAGUCGAACGGGCCUUGUCCCCUUUUUUUUGGGGGUGGGGUUAGUGGCGAACGGGUGAGUAACACGUGAGUAACCUGCCCCUCACUUCUGGAUAACCGCUUGAAAGGGUGGCUAAUACGGGGUGUUCUGGCCUGCUCGCAUGGGUGGGUUUGGAAAGAUUCGACCGGUUUUGGUUGUUUUGGUGGGGGAUGGGCUCGCGGCCUAUCAGCUUGUUGGUGGGGUGAUGGCCUGCCAAGGCUUUGACGGGUAGCCGGCCUGAGAGGGUGGGCGGUCACACUGGGACUGAGACACGGCCCAGACUCCUACGGGAGGCAGCAGUGGGGAAUAUUGCACAAUGGGCGCAAGCCUGAUGCAGCGACGCCGCGUGAGGGAUGGAGGCCCUCGGGUUGUGAACCUCUUUCGCCAGUGAAGAAGGUCCUGCUCUUUGUGGUGGGGUUGACGGUAGCUGGGUUAAUGAAGCGCCGGCUAACUACGUG
rnacentral:rRNA from 1 species